rnacentral:rRNA from 1 species
UACGGAAUGUGCAAACGUUAUUCGGAAUCACUGGGCUUAAAGAGUCCGUAGGCGGCUUGUUAGGUGAGGUGUGAAAUCCCUUGGCCCAACCAAGGAAUUGCGCUUCAAACCGGCAAGCUAGAGGAGGAUAGAGGUGGGCGGAACUGAUGGUGGAGCGGUGAAAUGCGUUGAUAUCAUCAGGAACACCGGAGGCGAAAGCGGUCCACUGGGUCCUUUCUGACGCUGAGGGACGAAAGCUAGGGGAGCGAACGGG